rfam:Kluyvera ascorbata ATCC 33433 GKAS.assembly.029, whole genome shotgun sequence.
GUAAGUUUGAAAUACAAACGUAACGUAAGACAUUUUAUCGAGCAGUCCUCAUAGCCAGGCUCUAUCGCUGAUAUCUCCUCUCUUUGAGUCCAACGUACAAUACUAUGCGUUUAUUAUAAUUCUUAGAUUAAAAUACUCAAAAGGAGCUAGUAUGUCUUCAAGAAUAAAAGGUUUGGUUAAGUGGUACAACGAAGAUAAAGGAUUCGGCUUUAUCUCUCCGAUUGAUGGAAGUAAAGAUGUGUUCGUCCAUUUCUCUGCCUUUCAUGGUGAUAAUUUAAAAACAUUGUUUGAAGGGCAAAAGGUUGAGUUUGCGAUUCAACGCGGAGAUAAGGGCCCGGCUGCAGCCGGUGUAAUUCUUUGCGAUAAAUAAACAUAUACAGGCCUGCGAUAACGAUGAUGGUUCAUUCCUGAGUGGUCAGGCCUGCCUU